AAAAAACAAAAGAAUAGCAACUUAGCAAAGGAUUCACUAGUGAUGGUUUGGAGAAAUUGCUCUUCUAGGAAAUGUUUUGGAUUCGAGUCAUAGCAUCGUGUAAUAUAUGUGAAUUUAGUAUAUUACGUCCCUCUCAAUAUGAAAAGUCAUAUUAAAAAAGAAAAAAAAAAAGAAAGAAUAGCGCCAUAAAUCAUAAGAGUGUACAAUAGAUAACAAUGAAUCAU
rnacentral:lncRNA from 1 species